rfam:Camelus ferus unplaced genomic scaffold scaffold1887, whole genome shotgun sequence.
GAGGGUAUAGCUCAAUUGGUAGAGCGCAUGCUUAUCAUGCAUGAGGUCCUGGGUUCAAUCCCCGGUACCUCCU